rnacentral:rRNA from 1 species
GAUGAACGCUGGCGGCGUGCUUAACACAUGCAAGUCGAACGAAGAUGCCGGAGUGCUUGCACUUUGGCAGACUGAGUGGCGGACGGGUGAGUAACGCGUGGGUAACCUGCCUUAUACAGGGGGAUAACAGUUGGAAACGACUGCUAAUACCGCAUAAGCGCACGGUAUCGCAUGAUACAGUGUGAAAAACUCCGGUGGUAUAAGAUGGACCCGCGUCUGAUUAGCUAGUUGGUGAGGUAACGGCCCACCAAGGCGACGAUCAGUAGCCGGCCUGAGAGGAUGAACGGCCACACUGGAACUGAGACACGGUCCAGACUCCUACGGGAGGCAGCA